rnacentral:rRNA from 1 species
GACGAACGCUGGCGGCGUGCUUAACACAUGCAAGUCGAACGGAAAGGCCCUGCUUUUGUGGGGUGCUCGAGUGGCGAACGGGUGAGUAACACGUGAGUAACCUGCCCUUGACUUUGGGAUAACUUCAGGAAACUGGGGCUAAUACCGGAUAGGAGCUCCUGCUGCAUGGUGGGGGUUGGAAAGUUUCGGCGGUUGGGGAUGGACUCGCGGCUUAUCAGCUUGUUGGUGGGGUAGUGGCUUACCAAGGCUUUGACGGGUAGCCGGCCUGAGAGGGUGACCGGCCACAUUGGGACUGAGAUACGGCCCAGACUCCUACGGGAGGCAGCAGUGGGGAAUAUUGCACAAUGGGCGGAAGCCUGAUGAAGAAAAGCGGCGUGCGGGAUGACGGCCUUCGGGUUGUAAACCGCUUUCGCCUGUGACGAAGCGUGAGUGACGGUAAUGGGUAAAGAAGCACCGGCUAACUACGUG